rnacentral:rRNA from 1 species
UACGGAGGAUCCAAGCGUUAUCCGGAAUUACUGGGCGUAAAGAGUUGCGUAGGUGGCAUUGUAAGUAGGUAGUGAAAGCGUUCGGCUCAACCGGAUAAACAUUACCUAAACUGCAAAGCUAGAGGGCGAGAGAGGUUACUGGAAUUCCAAGUGUAGGAGUGAAAUCCGUAGAUAUUUGGAGGAACACCGAUGGCGUAGGCAGGUAACUGGCUCGUCCCUGACACUAAGGCACGAAAGCGUGGGGAGCAAACGGG